GAUUGGUAUGACAGCUGCGGAGCGGUGUGUGGUGCCGAGAAAACCAUUACCAGAUGGACGUCAUCGGCGACGAUGUGUGGCGGAGAGACGUGACGUGACGCAAUAAAAACCGUUUCCCGGACCGUAGAGACACGUGGCGUAUGUGAAUGUAGCGGUGUGGAUAAAACCAGUGAGGGACGGGAGGGAACUAUAGUGUAACAGAUUCGUGUAAAACGAUGAAGUCGGUAUAAUGUGGCUGUGUGCAUAUCGGUUUUAUUAUCGUGUGUACGCGAUCGUUUUAACUGCAAAUUGACUUGUCAUGAAAACUCGAAUCGGAAAACGAUGACGACAGUGGUGGCGGUGACGACUAAUACUAUGGCCGCCACCACCGUCGAUCUGAAUCAAUUUGUAUGGCGAGCAACAGAGAAAGGGGCACAGUGAAACACUUAAUUUUCAAAUAAAAUAUUUCAGAAAUACCUUAAAAUUUGUUCUACGUCGGUGGGAUACAGUAAUACUAUGAGUGAGAGAGUUUAAGUCACACUUAAACAACGACUGGUUU